CCUACGGGUGGCAGCAGUGAGGAAUAUUGGUCAAUGGCCGAGAGCCUGAACCAGCCAAGUCGCGUGAGGGAAGACGGCCCUACGGGUUGUAAACCUCUUUUGUCGGGGAGCAAAGCGAGUCACGUGUGACUCAUUGAGAGUACCCGAAGAAAAAGCAUCGGCUAACUCCGUGCCAGCAGCCGCGGUAAUACGGAGGUGGCAAGCGUUGUCCGGGUUUAAUGGGUGUAAAGGGCGUGGAGGCGGGCUGGCAAGUCAGAUGUGAAAUCGGGGGGCUCAACCCCCGACCUGCAUUUGAAACUGGUGGUCUUGAGUUUCGGAGAGGCAGGCGGAAUUCCUGGUGUAGCGGUGAAAUGCGUAGAUAUUAGGAAGAACACCGGUGGCGAAGGCAGCCUGCUGGCCGACAACUGACGGUGAGGCGCGAAAGCGUGGGGAGCGAACAGGAUUAGAUACCCUUGUAGUC
rnacentral:rRNA from 1 species